rnacentral:rRNA from 1 species
CGGAAGAAGCGAAAGUGACGGUACGUGCAGAAGAAGCGCCGGCUAACUACGUGCCAGCAGCCGCGGUAAUACGUAGGGCGUAGCGUUGUCCGGAAUUAUUGGGCGUAAAGAGCUCGUAGGCGGUUUGUCGCGUCUGCUGUGAAAGCCCGGGGCUUAACCCCGUGGUGUGCAGUGGGUACGGGCAGACUAGAGUGCAGUAGGGGAGACUGGAAUUCCUGGUGUAGCGGUGAAAUGCGCAGAUAUCAGGAGGAACACCGAUGGCGAAGGCAGGUCUCUGGGCUGUUACUGACGCUGAGGAGCGAAAGCAUGGGGAGCGAACAGGAUUAGAUACCCUGGUAGUCCAUGCCGUAAACGUUGGGCACUAGGUGUGGGGGACAUUCCACGUUUUCCGCGCCGUAGCUAACGCAUUAAGUGCCCCGCCUGGGGAGUACGGCCGCAAGGCUAAAACUCAAAGGAAUUGACGGGGGCCCGCACAAGCGGCGGAGCAUGCGGAUUAAUUCGAUGCAACGCGAAGAACCUUACCAAGGCUUGACAUACACCAGACCGGCCCAGAGAUGGGUUUUCCUCUUUGAGGUUGGUGUACAGGUGGUGCAUGGUUGUCGUCAGCUCGUGUCGUGAGAUGUUGGGUUAAGUCCCGCAACGAGCGCAACCCUCGUUCUAUGUUGCCAGCACGUGAUGGUGGGGACUCAUAGGAGACUGCCGGGGUCAACUCGGAGGAAGGUGGGGAUGACGUCAAAUCAUCAUGCCCCUUAUGUCUUGGGCUUCACGCAUGCUACAAUGGCCGGUACAAUGGGUUGCGAUACCGUGAGGUGGAGCUAAUCCCAAAAAGCUGGUCUCAGUUCGGAUCGUGGUCUGCAACUCGACCACGUGAAGUCGGAGUCGCUAGUAAUCGCAGAUCAGCAACGCUGCGGUGAAUACGUUCCCGGGCCUUGUACACACCGCCCGUCAAGUCACGAAAGUUGGUAACACCCGAAGCCGGUGGCCUAACCCUUGUGGGCGAGCCGUCGUAAGAGAUGACCUCC